CUCAUUCUCCCCCUCUCACUAUCUUCUAGCUAUCUUUUCUAUCUUGCACUCUGCAGUUCGUGAUUUUACCAGCAACAGAAUCACUCAAAACGACCCCAAUCCAACACCAGCAGAAUCACUCAAAACGCCAGCAACAAGAACACAAUUUUGGUAUCUUUCACUCAUCUUCAACAGUCAACAGUAGUAGCUCAUCAAAACCAUAUCUGAAAUUCACAAUUUUGGUAUCUUUCUUCUCGGUAACAAUCAACAGCAGCAACUUCUCCAUCUUUACCUAUUAGCUCACCAUCUCAAACCAUAGAGAAAUUCAGCCCUAACCGAGGUUUCCUAAGCUUCAAUUGCUUCAAAUCUUCAUCAUAGAACUCAAUUUCUUUCAUGUCUAUAAUUCGAACUCAAACACAAAACCCUAGACUGUUGACAAUUCAAAUACCACAAUCUUCGAUUCAACCGUGUUCUCGAUUCAUCAACAUCUUCUUCUCAAUCUAGAACCUCAUCCCAAUUUCCAUAACAGGAUAUUGAUGGUUAUCUUGUCUCUUCCCUGAUCCAGCUCUUCUCUGUAGCCAAAAUUCUUUAUCAAACUCGAACCUGUACAUUGUACUUGUCUUAAUUUCCGAGAUCUCUCGUGAGUGGUGGCUUUCUCUAUCUGAAAUCUUGGUUAGCCGGAGAAGAUGGGUUUAAUUUGGGGAUUCUAAACACAGGUUCGAAUUGGGUUCUAAUCGAAUUUGUGUAUGAGUUCGUUAUUCAUGUUGAGUGUUGGUCUUAUUUGGGGCUUUGUCGGAAUUCAUCUGAAGGUGUUAUAAUACAUCGUCGAUGGAGUGAUGGAGGAGUGGAACUGUGAAGAAAGAUGAUGUUGUAUUCAAAGUUUGAGGGUUCUGAUGUCCCAAGGAAUUGCAGGCAGUGGUGAUUGUUCGUUUAUAACAAUAGAAUCCUGGGAUUCUCGGUAUGGAUAAUCAGGGUGAGCUGAAGAUCUGUGAUUUAGGAAUGUCUCGCCUUUACUCUACGGUACAGAGCACCUGAGCUUUUAUUAGGGACAAAACAAUACUCAACAACAAUUGAUAUGUGGUCGUAGGGUUGUGUAAUGACUGAGCUGUUAUCCAAGGAACCCCUAUUUAAUGGAAAAACUGAAGUUGAUCAGCUUGACAAGAUUUUCAAAACCCACGGUAUGGAUUGAUAUGGAGGUUUUGUGUGAAUUGAGGUGAAUUUGCAUGGUUGAAAUCUCAACAGUUCAUUCAUGUUUUCUUACAACAGCAGCCUACGGAGUUUGGGGUUUAUCUGGUCUGAAUUGGGUUGAGUCUGAAUACGAAUCGCAGGUGGUUUGAGCAGUUGAUGGCCUUGAAGAGUUGGUUUGAAGGUAGAUAGGUUCUGGCGGCGCUGAAGAAUGAAUUUGGCGAAGGAUGAUGCUGUUGUUUGGUUGCAAUGAAACUGCAGGUGUGUUGCAGUGAGCUUAAUGGAGAUUGCAAGAUGUCUGGUGUUGCUACUGAGAGCUUGUGAUGGUUGCAAGCUAGGCUUGUAAGCUGAGCUUAAGCUGGUGAUUGAGUUGACAUGAAAUUGGAACUGUACGAAUGAAUGGAUUGCAGUGGAGAUGCACAGAUGAAGUUGAAAAUGCAGGAGUCUAACAACCACACCCAAUAUUUCGAUUAGCAAUCUGUAUGGACUAACUCCAAUAUACUUUCAAGAGAAUCAACUAGACAGUUAGACUCAA